rnacentral:rRNA from 1 species
UACGAAGGGGGCUAGCGUUGCUCGGAAUCACUGGGCGUAAAGCGCACGUAGGCGGCUUUCUAAGUCAGGGGUGAAAUCCUGGAGCUCAACUCCAGAACUGCCUUUGAUACUGGAGAGCUUGAGUCCGGAAGAGGUGAGUGGAACUCCGAGUGUAGAGGUGAAAUUCGUAGAUAUCUGGAGGAAUACCGGUGGCGAAGGCGGCUACCUGGCCCAACAUUGACACUGAGACCCGAAAGCGUGGGGAUCAAACAGG